GAAGCAAGAUGGCGGCGACGGCGGCCGCAGUGGUGGCCGAGGAGGACACGGAGCUGCGGGACCUGCUGGUGCAGACGCUGGAGAACAGCGGGGUCCUGAACCGCAUCAAGGCUGAACUCCGAGCAGCUGUGUUUUUAGCACUAGAGGAGCAAGAAAAAGUAGAGAACAAAACUCCUUUAGUCAAUGAGAGCCUGAAAAAGUUUUUAAAUACCAAAGACGGUAAGAGGUUCAGUUUGUUCUUGGUUAUCUGUCUCUGAAUUUUUGAAUCUUGAUACCAUUUGGGAGAAAUCAGGAAUUUCAGGGAAUUUUUUUAUGUCUUCAAUUGUUAUAGGUCCUCAUUUUAAAAUAAUAUUUUAUUGUACAACAAUUGUGUUGCUAUUACAUAUUUUUGGACUUGGGAUGUUGUUGCUUAGAGCCAGUUUUACUACAGAAAGCCAAUAUUAACCAUUAAAAAGUGAAACACUGAAAUCUAUGAGAUGAUUGUCUUACAGUUAGUUACAGACUGAUGAUCCCAGUGAAAAAAUUAGGAGAUUGAGAUUUUCAUUACUUAAUCAUAUUAUUCAAAGAGGAAAUUUGUAACUUAAAAAAUGUAGAAACCUUUCUUCCAUUAAUUUAGUGUAUCUAUUUCAUAAUGUUAAUUAAAAAAAUUCAGUUUUUAAAGAUUUGCUCACUUACCUUUUUCUUGAUCUUUAUAGGUCGUUUAGUGGCUAGUCUUGUUGCAGAAUUUCUUCAGUUUUUUAACCUUGACUUUACUUUGGCUGUUUUUCAACCUGAAACUAGCACAGUAAGAAUAAUGAUUUUUACAUCUAUCUUUUGAAACCUUCUUUGAUACAAAUGAGUUAAUAUUAAGCUGAAAGUUAAUAGAAUUUGACAACUGAUAGUUUUUUACAUUUAGAUUAUUUUUGGUAGUUGAUUAUCUGUUUUUCUUAAAAGCCAUAUGAGCUUUCAGAUAGCUGGCACCAGUGUUGCUGCUUUGUGUUACUUGAAAGCUUGCUAAUAAAAGUGUUACUAUAGAGUUAAUUUUGAUACGAUGUUAGAUUGCACCUGUUAAUGGAAACUUUGAAGGUAGAGGCUCUGUAAAAGAAAUAGGCAUAAUUUUUAAAAAUAGUCAUUUCACUCAUUAGUAAGACAGUCUCUGAGUUUAAAGAUGUCUUUAAACUCUGAAAAUAUUUUCUUUACUCCUUGAGAAUAACUUCUGCUAUUUUUUUGUGCACUUGUAUUUUAACUUCUUUUCUAGCUGCAAGGUCUCGAAGGUCGAGAGAAUUUAGCCCGAGAUUUAGGUAUAAUUGAAGCAGAAGGUACUGUGGGUGGACCUUUAUUAUUAGAAGUGAUCAGGCGCUGUCAACAGAAAGAAAAAGGGCCAACCACUGGGGAAGGUGCACUAGACCUAUCUGAUGUACAUUCUCCACCAAAGUCACCAGAGGGAAAAACAAGUGCACAGACAACACCAAGUAAGAAGGCCAAUGAUGAGGCCAAUCAGAGUGAUACAAGUGUCUCUUUGUCAGAACCCAAGAGCAAAAGCAGCCUUCACUUACUGUCCCAUGAAACAAAAAUUGGAUCUUUUCUAAGCAACAGAACUUUAGAUGGCAAAGACAAAGCCGGCCUUUGUCCAGAUGAAGAUGAUACGGAAGGAGAUUCUUUCUUUGAUGAUCCCAUUCCUAAGCCAGAGAAAACUUACGGUUUGAAUGAACCUAGGAAGCAAGCAGGAAGCCUGGCCUCACUCUCAGAUGCACCCCCCUUAAAAAGUGGACUCAGCUUCCUGGCGGGAGCCCCUUCUUUAAAAGACUCUGAGAGUAAAAGGGGAAAUACAGUUUUGAAAGAUCUGAAAUUGAUCAGUGAUAAAAUUGGAUCACUUGGAUUAGGAACUGGAGAAGACGAUGACUAUGUUGAUGAUUUUAACAGUACCAGCCAUCGCUCAGAGAAAAGUGAGAUAAGUAUUGGUGAAGAGAUAGAAGAAGACCUUUCUGUGGAAAUAGAUGACAUCAAUACCAGUGAUAAGCAAGAAGACCAAGAUGACAAGAUGAGCCAAGAGACUUGGCCAGAGGACCUCCAGGCUGACAGUUUCCCCGAGGAAGUCAGAUUGGAAAAGUGUCCUCAGGUUCAAGGAAACCUGGGUGUGCACUGGGUGAAUGAGAGUGGCAGACAGAAGGAAACAGCAAGGCCUCUGAAUUUGCUUCAAAUGGUGGAUUUCAAAGCCCUUCGUCCUCAGGCCCUCCACAACUGCUCCAGCUCUUCCUGGUCUCCUGCUAAACUUCUUCAGCCUGGACCCAUGCACCGCCACUGCUGGCGUUCCCAGCACAUCAGUCAUUUCCACUUUCCUGCUACCGCUGCCUGUGAGCUGAAGGGGUUGAACCCUACACUCCUUUUUCUACAACCAGCUUGCAUUUUUUCUGCCCACAAUGAGCGGGGAAUCAAUGAAUUUCAGCGAUGUUUUCGACUCCAGUGAAGAUUAUUUUGUGUCAGUCAAUACUUCAUAUUACUCAGUUGAUUCUGAAAUGUUACUGUGCUCCUUGCAGGAGGUCAGGCAGUUCUCCAGGCUAUUUGUACCGAUAGCCUACUCCUUGAUCUGUGUCUUUGGCCUCCUGGGGAAUAUUCUGGUGGUGAUCACCUUUGCUUUUUAUAAGAAGGCCAGAUCUAUGACAGACGUCUAUCUCUUGAACAUGGCCAUUGCAGACAUCCUCUUUGUUCUUACUCUCCCAUUCUGGGCAGUGAGUCAUGCCACCGGUGCGUGGGUUUUCAGCAAUGCCAUGUGCAAGUUGCUAAAAGGCAUCUAUGCCAUCAACUUUAACUGUGGGAUGCUGCUCCUGACUUGCAUUAGCAUGGACCGGUACAUCGCCAUUGUACAGGCGACUAAGUCAUUCCGGCUCCGAUCCAGAACACUACCGCGCAGCAAAAUCAUCUGCCUUGUUGUGUGGGGGUUGUCAGUCAUCAUCUCCAGCUCAACUUUUGUCUUCAACCAGAAAUACAACAUCCUAGGCAGCGAUGUCUGUGAACCCAACUACCACACUGUCUCGGAGCCCAUCAGGUGGAAACUGCUGAUGUUGGGGCUUGAGCUACUCUUUGGUUUCUUUAUCCCUUUGAUGUUCAUGAUAUUUUGUUACACGUUCAUUGUGAAAACCUUGGUGCAAGCUCAGAAUUCUAAAAGGCACAAAGCCAUCCGAGUAAUCAUAGCCGUGGUGCUUGUGUUUCUGGCUUGUCAGAUUCCUCAUAACACGGUCCUGCUUUUGAUGGCUGCAAAUUUGGGUAAAAUGAACCGAUCCUGCCAGAGCGAAAAGCUAAUUGGCUAUACGAAAACUGUCACAGAAGUCCUGGCUUUCCUGCACUGCUGCCUGAACCCUGUGCUCUAUGCUUUUAUUGGGCAGAAGUUCAGAAACUACUUUCUGAAGAUCUUGAAGGACCUGUGGUGUGUGAGAAGGAAGUACAAGUCCUCGGGCUUCUCCUGUGCCGGGAGGUACUCAGAAAACAUUUCUCGGCAGACCAGUGAGACUGCAGAUAACGACAAUGCGUCGUCCUUCACUAUGUGAUAGAAAGCUGAGUCUCCCUAAGGCAUGUGUGAAACAUACUCAUAGAUGUUAUGCAAAAAAAAGUCUAUGGCCAAGUUUGCAUGGAAAGUGUGGGAAUUCAGCAAAAUCAAGCAAGCGUCUCUCCUGCGGGACUUAACAUGCUCAUGGGCUGUGUGAUCUCUUCAGGGUGGGGUGGUCUCUGAUAGGUAGCAUUUUCUAGCACACUUUGCAAGGAAUGUUUUGUAGCUCUAGGGUAUAUAUCCGCCUGGCGUUUCACAAAACAGCCUUUGGGAAAUGCUGAAUUAAAGUGAAUUGCUGACAAAUGUAAACAUUUUCAGAAAUAUUCAUGAAGAGGUCACAGAUCACAGUGUCUUUUGGUUACAGCACAAAAUGAUGGCAGUGGUUUGAAAAACUAAAACAGAAAAAAACAAACGGAAGCCCACACAUCACUCAUUUUAGGCAAAUGUUUAAACAUUUUUAUCUAUCAGAAUGUUUAUUGUUGCUGGUUAUAAGCAGCAGGAUUGGCUGGCUGGUGUUUUCUCUCAUUUCCCUUUGAUACAGUCAACAAGCCUGACCCUGUAAAACGGAGGCGGAAAGACAAGCUCAAGUGUUCACAACCUGGAAGUGCUUCGGGAAGAAGGGGACAAUGGCAGAACAGGUGUUGGCGACAAUUGUCACCAAUUGGAUAAAGCAGCUCAGGUUGGGCCAUUAGGAAAGUGUCAGUUUGCUUUGAUUUCCCUGGGAGCUGUUCUCUGUCGUGAGUGACUCAUCUCUAAACGUCCAUUAGGCUGAGAGUGCUAUGAAGACAGGAGCUAGAAUAAUCUUGCUCACAGCUGUGCUCUGAGUGCCUAGCGGAGUUCCAGCGAACAAAAUGGACUCAAAAGAGAUUUGAUUAGUGAAUCGUAAUGAAGUUGUGGUUUAUUGUACAGUUUAAAAUAUUAGAUGUUUUUAAUUUUUUAAAUAAAUAGAAUACUUUUUUUUUUUUUUUUAAGAAAGCAACUUUACUGAGACAAUGUAGAAAGAAGUUUUGUUCCAUUUCUUUAAUGUGGUUGAAGAGCAAUGUGUGGUUGAAGACUUUUGUUAUGAGGAGCUGUAGAUUAGCUAGGGGACAGCUGGAAUUAUUCUGGCUUCUGAUAAUGAUUUUAAAGGGGUCUGAAAUUUGUGAUGGAAUCAGAUUUUAACAACUCUCUUCAAUGACAUAGAAAGUUCAUGGAACUCAUGUUUUUAAAGGGCUAUAUAAAUAUAUGAACAUUAGAAAAAUAUCAACUUGUGUUACAGAAAUACAAACACGUGUUAGGAAGGUACUGUCAUGGGCUAGGCAUGGUGGCUCAUGCCUGUAACCCCAGCAUUUUGGGAAGCUAAGAUGGGCGGAUCACUCGAGGUCAGGAGUUCAAGACCAGCCUGGCCAACGUGGCGAAACCCCUCUCUACUAAAAAUACAAAAAUUCACCAGGCGUGGUGGCGGGUGCCUGUAAUCCCAGCUACUUGGGAGGCUGAGGCAAGAGAAUCGCUUGAACCCAGGAGGCAGAGGUUGCAGUCAGCCGAGAUCAUGCCAUUGCACUCCAGCCUGGGUGACAGAGCAAGACUCCGUCUCAAAAAAAAAAAAAAAAAAAAAAGGAAAGAACUGUCAUGAAUUACAAAAAUAUUGACAUGUUUAAACCUGACAAUGGUGUUAUUUGAAACUUUAUAUUGUUCUUGUAAGCUUUAACUAUAUCUCUCUUUAAAAUGCAAAAUAAUGUCGUAAGAUUCGAAGUCUGUAUUUUUAAAGCAUGGCUUUGGCUUUGCAAAAUAAAAAAUGUGUUCUGUAUAUGAA
rnacentral:sRNA from 1 species